rnacentral:rRNA from 1 species
UACGUAGGGGCAAGCGUUGUCCGGAAUUAUUGGGCGUAAAGCGCGCGCAGGCGGUCCUUUAAGUCUGAUGUGAAAGCCCACGGCUUAACCGUGGAGGGUCAUUGGAAACUGAGGGACUUGAGUACAGAAGAGGAGAGUGGAAUUCCACGUGUAGCGGUGAAAUGCGUAGAGAUGUGGAGGAACACCAGUGGCGAAGGCGACUCUCUGGUCUGGUAACUGACGCUGAGGUGCGAAAGCGUGGGUAGCAAACAGGAUUAGAUACCCUGGUA